rnacentral:rRNA from 1 species
AUAAUGGGUCAGCGACUUAUAUUCUGUAGCAAGGUUAACCGAAUAGGGGAGCCGAAGGGAAACCGAGUCUUAACUGGGCGUUAAGUUGCAGGGUAUAGACCCGAAACCCGGUGAUCUAGCCAUGGGCAGGUUGAAGGUUGGGUAACACUAACUGGAGGACCGAACCGACUAAUGUUGAAAAAUUAGCGGAUGACUUGUGGCUGGGGGUGAAAGGCCAAUCAAACCGGGAGAUAGCUGGUUCUCCCCGAAAGCUAUUUAGGUAGCGCCUCGUGAAUUCAUCUCCGGGGGUAGAGCACUGUUUCGGCAAGGGGGUCAUCCCGACUUACCAACCCGAUGCAAACUGCGAAUACCGGAGAAUGUUAUCACGGGAGACACACGGCGGGUGCUAACGUCCGUCGUGAAGAGGGAAACAACCCAGACCGCCAGCUAAGGUCCCAAAGUCAUGGUUAAGUGGGAAACGAUGUGGGAAGGCCCAGACAGCCAGGAUGUUGGCUUAGAAGCAGCCAUCAUUUAAAGAAAGCGUAAUAGCUCACUGGUCGAGUCGGCCUGCGCGGAAGAUGUAACGGGGCUAAACCAUGCACCGAAGCUGCGGCAGCGACACUGUGUGUUGUUGGGUAGGGGAGCGUUCUGUAAGCCUGCGAAGGUGUGCUGUGAGGCAUGCUGGAGGUAUCAGAAGUGCGAAUGCUGACAUAAGUAACGAUAAAGCGGGUGAAAAGCCCGCUCGCCGGAAGACCAAGGGUUCCUGUCCAACGUUAAUCGGGGCAGGGUGAGUCGACCCCUAAGGCGAGGCCGAAAGGCGUAGUCGAUGGGAAACAGGUUAAUAUUCCUGUACUUGGUGUUACUGCGAAGGGGGGACGGAGAAGGCUAUGUUGGCCGGGCGACGGUUGUCCCGGUUUAAGCGUGUAGGCUGGUUUUCCAGGCAAAUCCGGAAAAUCAAGGCUGAGGCGUGAUGACGAGGCACUACGGUGCUGAAGCAACAAAUGCCCUGCUUCCAGGAAAAGCCUCUAAGCAUCAGGUAACAUCAAAUCGUACCCCAAACCGACACAGGUGGUCAGGUAGAGAAUACCAAGGCGCUUGAGAGAACUCGGGUGAAGGAACUAGGCAAAAUGGUGCCGUAACUUCGGGAGAAGGCACGCUGAUAUGUAGGUGAAGUCCCUCGCGGAUGGAGCUGAAAUCAGUCGAAGAUACCAGCUGGCUGCAACUGUUUAUUAAAAACACAGCACUGUGCAAACACGAAAGUGGACGUAUACGGUGUGACGCCUGCCCGGUGCCGGAAGGUUAAUUGAUGGGGUCAGCGCAAGCGAAGCUCUUGAUCGAAGCCCCGGUAAACGGCGGCCGUAACUAUAACGGUCCUAAGGUAGCGAAAUUCCUUGUCGGGUAAGUUCCGACCUGCACGAAUGGCGUAAUGAUGGCCAGGCUGUCUCCACCCGAGACUCAGUGAAAUUGAACUCGCUGUGAAGAUGCAGUGUACCCGCGGCAAGACGGAAAGACCCCGUGAACCUUUACUAUAGCUUGACACUGAACAUUGAGCCUUGAUGUGUAGGAUAGGUGGGAGGCUUUGAAGUGUGGACGCCAGUCUGCAUGGAGCCGACCUUGAAAUACCACCCUUUAAUGUUUGAUGUUCUAACGUUGACCCGUGAUCCGGGUUGCGGACAGUGUCUGGUGGGUAGUUUGACUGGGGCGGUCUCCUCCUAAAGAGUAACGGAGGAGCACGAAGGUUGGCUAAUCCUGGUCGGACAUCAGGAGGUUAGUGCAAUGGCAUAAGCCAGCUUGACUGCGAGCGUGACGGCGCGAGCAGGUGCGAAAGCAGGUCAUAGUGAUCCGGUGGUUCUGAAUGGAAGGGCCAUCGCUCAACGGAUAAAAGGUACUCCGGGGAUAACAGGCUGAUACCGCCCAAGAGUUCAUAUCGACGGCGGUGUUUGGCACCUCGAUGUCGGCUCAUCACAUCCUGGGGCUGAAGUAGGUCCCAAGGGUAUGGCUGUUCGCCAUUUAAAGUGGUACGCGAGCUGGGUUUAGAACGUCGUGAGACAGUUCGGUCCCUAUCUGCCGUGGGCGCUGGAGAACUGAGGGGGGCUGCUCCUAGUACGAGAGGACCGGAGUGGACGCAUCACUGGUGUUCGGGUUGUCAUGCCAAUGGCACUGCCCGGUAGCUAAAUGCGGAAGAGAUAAGUGCUGAAAGCAUCUAAGCACGAAACUUGCCCCGAGAUGAGUUCUCCCUGACUCCUUGAGAGUCCUGAAGGAACGUUGAAGACGACGACGUUGAUAGGCCGGGUGUGUAAGCGCAGCGAUGCGUUGAGCUAACCGGUACUAAUGAACCGUGAGGCUUAACCUUACAACGCCGAAGGUGUUU